GGAUUUUUUCAGUCAGGCUCCUGGCUGAAGCCCAACUCUUAGCUGGAUUGAAGUCUAGC
rnacentral:miRNA from 1 species